UACGUAGGGGGCUAGCGUUGUCCGGAAUCAUUGGGCGUAAAGCGCGUGUAGGCGGUUCGGUAAGUCCGCUGUGAAAGUCGGGGGCUCAACCCUCGGAUGCCGGUGGAUACUGUCGGACUAGAGUACGGAAGAGGCGAGUGGAAUUCCUGGUGUAGCGGUGAAAUGCGCAGAUAUCAGGAGGAACACCGAUUGCGAAGGCAGCUCGCUGGGACGUUACUGACGCUGAGACGCGAAAGCGUGGGAGCAAACAGG
rnacentral:rRNA from 1 species